rnacentral:rRNA from 1 species
CACCGCGGUUAUACGAGAGGCCCCAACUGAUAGUCCACGGCGUAAAGCGUGAUUAAAGGAUGCCUACUACACUAGAGCCAAAAGCCCCCUAAGCUGUCAUACGCACCUGAAGGCCCGAAGCCCAACCACGAAGGUAGCUCUACCCAACAAGGACCCCUUGAACCCACGACAACUGAGACA